rnacentral:lncRNA from 1 species
CUCAGUUUCUGGUGCUUCACAGGGGAGAGGAAAGGACAUUGGCAUUAAACACAAGAAGCAGUCAGGGAACCAUCUCCUUUAACUUUUCUCCUCUGUUACCAUUUGCAAUGAAGAGGAAACAGAAGAGAUUUCUGCAAAUGACUUUGUUAUUCAUGGUGGCUUUAAUUUUCCUGCCCAAUAUUGGUCUCUGGUCUCUGUACAAGGAUAAGCACCUGGUGAAAUCUACAGAGCCCAGGGAGCAGCAGGUAAGUACCACCCAGAGAAAAGGUCACAGGAGAAUUGGUAAGGCAUGCAGCCCUAUGCUUGGGCACACCAGGAAGUAGGUAGGGGAUAGCGUUGGGCUUUCUCCCAAGUCUUUUAGAACCGAUUUUACAAGACUCUAAAGACUUCAGGGCUUAAGCAGGUACUUGUUUCAAGAUUGCAGCCAAUGACAUGAUGAAAUGUCAACUAGAAAAGAGUAAUCAGAGAGGUCAGGAAGGAGAAAAGAAAAUCUUUCACAAUUGGUCUCAGUUUAAUUUUGGCUUGAGGUGGAUGAAAGGUUACUGCUUAUUUGUGGGAAGAGGGAGUGGGUUUGGUGCAAGUUUAAUUAUAGGGAAUGGUUUUGCCUUCUAUCUUGUUUUGCUUGUCUAUAGUAAAAUGGAUUGGGCCAACCAACUAAAUCUUAACAUUUUGAAAGUAGUUUUCCAAAAACCAAGCUGUAGUUUUCUGCAUUUGGGUUGUAAUUUUUGCUUAGCAAUGGAUUUUUGCCCUGUGGAAACUUGAAGUGUCUCUUCUCCCCUGUUGCUAAGGUGAUGUGGGUGUACAGGGUAUACAGGAGAGUAAUAAGACUAUCCAUUCAGUUUCAGUCUGGUGAUAAGUUUGUGGCUAAAGGCUGACCUUCAUAUGGGAAACACUACAUAAUAUGAAAUGUUUUAUUUUAAGUGAGUCUGUAAUCCAUUCAUAUGUAUAGAGAUCUUGACUUAACAUGGUUCAAAAUAACUUGUCUUUCUUAUGGAGCAAGAAUGGAAAGUAUCCUUCACAAAAUAUUGAUAAAAAUCAAUAUCAUUAAAUUCUUUGUUUAUUAAGAAAUAGAACAGCUCCUGUAAUUAAAUGUUUAAUAAUAGAAUGCAGCCUUCUUUGUGAAAUUGAUAUGACACUUUUGUGGUGGGUCCUGUACUUUGCCUUGGAAUCUUAAUAUUCUUAAUUUCAAGGGUCAUCUCCCGUGUACACUAUUACCUUCCACACAUGGAAGGUAAAACUAGUUUAUUUCUGGGCCAAAGCAAUAUAUAUUAUUGACCACUGAGUGUUUGUUCUUAUACUUAACAAAGUUUAAUUUUCCUUUUACACAGUUAGUUGUAAAGUAUGUGUAGGUAGUCUGCUUUUUCAUUAUAACAAGAAGUCAUUUCCAAUCUCUGAACUUUAAACAUAUCUAGUUCCUAUGGAUUUUUAAUUAAUUGGAAUUUUGGGGGAAUUGCUGACAAUAUUUUUAUCUAGCUGUUGAUUUUUAUCACCUUUCAACUUUACUAAUAAGAAUUUAACUUUGGUUUGAAGAAUAUUCUGUUUUGUCAUUCCAGUGGGGAAAAAAAGAAGAUGGGCACUUUGGAUGUUAAACUUUUUCUCAGAUUUAGAUCAUUUAUUUCUCUAAACUCUGAUAUGAAACAGGAUUUUAUUAGUAGUCAAUACACUACUAUGUAAAAUUUUCAUUACAAUAUUGGUAAAAUAAAAAAGCAAACUUUUUUCUUGAAUUUUACUAAUUCAAUUAACAUUAGCCAUCUGAAGUAUUUGCUGGUGUAGCUAACAUAGAACACUAAUUAAUCUUAUUAAUGAGAUCUUUACAACUUUCACAUUGACCCUAUUGAUUUUGACUCUUAAUGAGAAAAUUGUUUGUCCAAUCACAUUAAAAACAAUAAAAUGUAGUAAUUCAACUCUCU